rnacentral:rRNA from 1 species
GCCGGCAGCUAGCUCUCUGCAACUCUCACAUGGUCGCCCACUGAAGCGAAGCAGAGCUGUGCCCAGUCAGUACCUGGAUGGGAGACCACAUGGGAAAACUAGGUUGCUGCCGGAA